rnacentral:rRNA from 1 species
AUGGAGAUCCGGACCAAGGACGACGCAUGGCGCCUGCUGCUGGUGCUCUUCCUUGGCCAGCUCGUGGCCUUCUCCAUGGCGGCCUGCAGCUUCGCCUCCUCUUUCAUCGCCAAUCUCGGAGUUGACACACCACUCGCGCAAUCAUUCUGCACACAUCUCCUGUUGACCUUAGUUUAUGUGCCGAUCCUCUUGCGUCGACGACAGAAGCUGCGGAUACCUUGGUAUUGGUACUUAGUGCUGGCCUUCGUCGAUGUCCAGGGGAACUAUCUGGUUACCGAGGCGUACCAGUACUCAUCCAUCACCAGCGUAACAUUGUUGGAUUGUUGGACUGUUGUAUGGGCCAUCAUACUCACCUGGUACGCACUAGGCACGAGAUAUUCUUUCUGGCAAUUUCUGGGGGCAGGGACCUGUGUGGCUGGGCUAGCUCUUGUGCUCCUUUCAGAUGCAAAAACUCCAGAUACACAGGAUCCAAAUAAAACACCACUUCUAGGGGAUGCCCUUGUUAUUGCCGGGACAGUUUGUUAUGCAUUUAGCAAUGUCGGGGAGGAGCACUGUGUCAAGAAGAACGACAGAGUAGAAGUUGUCGCAAUGCUUGGACUAUUUGGAGUGCUUGUCAGUACAAUUCAGAUAUUUAUGUUUGAAAGGAAGAGCGUAGAAGCAAUUGCCUGGUCUCCAACAAUGAUAAGUUUGUUUGCAGGAUAUGCCGUUGCAGGAUUUAUGUUCUACACCAUUGCUCCUUUUGUCCUUCAGAUGAGUGGAGCAACAUUGCUUAACCUCUCGCUCUUAACAUCUGACAUGUGGGCAGUCGCCAUUCGAGUAUUUUUCUAUCAACAACAGAUAAACUGGUUGUACUAUCUAGCAUUCGCAGUUGUGGCCAUCGGAUUGAUCAUCUACUCACUGAAUGAGAAUUCUUCGGCUGAUGCAACAGCUACAAGUACAGAAGCAGCCGCUCACUAUCAACUACUUCCAAGUGAGGAGAGCUCAAUAGGAAGUGGUUCCAAUUUGGACAGAAAAGAAAGGAAGCAACCAGAAGCUCACAUCUGUUAA